GGGGAAUUGUUCGCAAUGGGCGCAAGCCUGACGACGCAACGCCGCGUGGAGGAUGAAGACCUUCGGGCCGUAAACUCCUUUCGAUCGAGACGAACCGCCUCCGGGUGAACAAUCCGGAGGUUUGACGGUACCGAGAGAAGAAGCCCCGGCUAACUCCGUGCCAGCAGCCGCGGUAAUACGGGGGGGGCAAGCGUUGUUCGGAAUUACUGGGCGUAAAGGGCUCGUAGGUGGCCAACUAAGUCAGACGUGAAAUCCCUCGGCUUAACCGGGGAACUGCGUCUGAUACUGGAUGGCUUGAGUUCGGGAGAGGGAUGCGGAAUUCCAGGUGUAGCGGUGAAAUGCGUAGAUAUCUGGAGGAACACCGGUGGCGAAGGCGGCAUCCUGGACCGACACUGACACUGAGGAGCGAAAGCCAGGGGAGCAAAC
rnacentral:rRNA from 1 species